rnacentral:tRNA from 1 species
GCAGUGGUGGCUCAGUGGUAGAAUUCUCACCUUCCAUGUGAGCACCUGGGUUUAAUUCCCAGCAAUGCA